CGCGCGGUGUACUCCCAGAUGGCGUCCGGGUCGAGCAGUGCCUGCUCGCCGAAGUAGGCCCCGUCGGCGAGGACGCCGAGGACGGCGUCGUCGCCGUACGGGCCAGUGCCGAUCUUCUCCACCCUGCCGUGGGCGAGCAGAUACACCUCGUCGCUCUGGUUGCCGAAAUCGGCAAUCACCUCGCCAGGUCCGAAGUCACGCUGACGGCAGCGCCGGGCCAGCUCUGUCAGCACCUCCUCGUCCUCGUAGGAGCGCAGGGCGGGCAGUUCGCCGAGCUCCGCCGGGAUGACCUCCACCUGGUCCCCGGUCUUUACGAAGGUGAUGCGGCCGUCGCCGACGGUGUACGCCAGCCGCCGGUUCACCCGGUACGUUCCGCCCUGGACGUCCGCCCAGGGAAGCGUGCGCAGCAACCAGCGGGAGCUGAUCUCCUGCAUCUGCGGAACGGACUUGGUGGUGGUGGCCAGGUUCCGCGCCGCCGCCGUCCCGAGGGACUGUUGCGG
rfam:Streptomyces pluripotens strain MTSC 137 chromosome, complete genome.